rnacentral:rRNA from 1 species
CCUACGGGUGGCUGCAGUGGGGAAUAUUGGACAAUGGGCGAAAGCCUGAUCCAGCCAUGCCGCGUGUGUGAAGAAGGCCUUCGGGUUGUAAAGCACUUUCAGUGGGGAAGAAAGCCUUGGGGCUAAUACCCUCGAGGAAGGACAUCACCCACAGAAGAAGCACCGGCUAACUCCGUGCCAGCAGCCGCGGUAAUACGGAGGGUGCGAGCGUUAAUCGGAAUUACUGGGCGUAAAGCGCGCGUAGGCGGUCUGAUAAGCCGGUUGUGAAAGCCCCGGGCUCAACCUGGGAACGGCAUCCGGAACUGUCAGGCUAGAGUGCAGGAGAGGAAGGUAGAAUUCCCGGUGUAGCGGUGAAAUGCGUAGAGAUCGGGAGGAAUACCAGAGGCGAAGGCGGCCUUCUGGACUGACACUGACGCUGAGGUGCGAAAGCGUGGGUAGCAAACAGGAUUAGAUACCCGAGUAGUC